UGUGAGAAUGUGGUGGCAGAGAGGGUAGAAAUGGAUGCUCGCCCUUGGUAUAUGAAGUGUUUCUGUUGCCUCAUAUGAAGCCUUAUAACCUGAGUAGGAGAAAGCAAGUGUUGGUUCAGCUUCUGUGGUCACCUGUAAAGAAGAAGAUGAAUUAGAUCUCUAGCAUAUAUGAUGGAUAUAGAUACUUCCAAUCUCACAUACUGAUUCUUCUUCCCUUUGUCUGAGUCUUAUAACCUGAGGAUGAGAAGUAAGUGUUGGUUAUAAUCGUUGUAGUAAGUGGACUAUAUAGCAAAGACUACUAUAGCAAAACAAUAGAGAAAGUAAACAGAUAAUAAUCGUUGUAGUUA